rnacentral:lncRNA from 1 species
GUAUAUGGGCAACAAGGAUCCUUCUUGAGAAAGGGUUCAUCUAGCAAGUUGAAAGUAGUAGACUAAUCUCCGGUUAGGAUAUGUAUGGGAUCCCAAGAGACAAACCCUGCAAAGUAUAAUUAACUCGAGUGAGUGAAAUUGAGUGGGUAGCAAAUUUGAUUGAUGAUCAAACCCAGAAAUGGAAGGAGGACCAAAUAUUGACCUCAUUUGAUAUUCAGGAGGCAAGGAAAAUUCUGAGCAUUCCAUUGGCGCCACAUUAGACAACAGAUCGACUGAGACGGUGCCUAGAAAGCUCAAGUGAGUACACGUGUAACACCCCUUACCCGAGACCGUCUCCGGAAUCGAGUACGAGAUGUCAUCCAAUUUAACUUACCGAUUCGGAGCAUAAAAAUUUGCUUUUAAAAUUAAAUUCACUGUUCAUAACAACACUGUCCACCUGCGCAACUGUCACUAAUUUAAUUAUAAAUUGAGUUACGAAACUCAAAAUUUAAAUCCGUAAAUUUUCCGUGAAACUAGACUCAUAUUCCUACUUACCAUAAAAUUUUCAGAAUUUUUUACUUAGCACAUUAGUACAGUUUAUUCAUUAAAUUAUCCCCUGUUUCACAGCUCGACAGAUCUGACCUCUUGGAGCUAAAAAUCAAAUAUCUAAUUGUACAGAAUUCAUAUAAGGUUACCAUUAAUUUAUUUUGAAAAUAGACUCACUAAGGAAUCUAAACAUAUAAAUUAUGACCUAUAAUUAUUUCUGUACAAUUUAUAAUGAUUUUCUAAAGUUAGAACAGGGGACUUCAAAAACCAUUCUGACCCUGUCUCACUAAAAUUUAAAUAUCUAAAAAUAUAAAAUUCCUUUGCCUACACCUUUUCUUUCAUGUAAAAAUAGACUUGAUAAGCUUUAAUUCUAUAUAUCAUUCACCCUCUAAUUCCAUUUCUACUAUUUAUGGUGAUUUUUCACAUUCACGUCACUGCUGCUGUCAAAGAAACUGCUUCUUUGAAUUAGUUACCAUUUAAACAUACAUAACUCCAAAACAUAUUCUUUAAUAACUACUUCAAUAGCUAACAUUAGCCAUAUCAUUUGGACAUGCUCAAAAUGAUUAAGACUCUAUACAUGCCAUAGUUUAAACAUUUUGAAAAGCACAUAAUACCGAGAUGGUUAUGAUAGUGUGAUACGAGCUCCGACGGUCCACUAUUCGAUCAAGUUCAAAUCACUAUAAAACAAAGGAAAGAAAGAGAUGUGUAAGCUAUAAAUAGCUUAGUAAGUUACAUGUAAACAAUAAUUACUCAAUUAAUAAUUAACACUUUUAACAUAUAACUAAUCAAAACAUUUCUUAGCAAUUUCAAUUACUUACACAUACACAAUCUUACCAAUUCACUUGCAUAUACAUUUUCACACUUAACAUUUCAUAUUCACUUUAAUUCAUUAUUAAUCCCGUUGAACACUUGGAAUAUACACGGAUACGUAGAGAUUUAGCACAUAAGUGCCACACUAAUAUGUAGCCGAAGCUACCACUGAUAUGUAGCCGAAGCUACCACUGGAUGUAGCCAAAGCUACCACUGAAAUGUAGCCGAAGCUACCACUGAUCAAGAACACUGGAAAUGUCCACGGGUCUGCUCACACAAGCUGUCAGGUGUCUGCAACACAUGCUAGAUCACCCAGCACCCGGGACUCACUGUAACACUGUAACACUGGUCUCUAGUGACAUGUCACUUGUAUCCAAUUCUAUUCCUAAGUUCAACCGAGAAUUUACACUUAACACUUUAUUUUCAACACUUUAUCACUUGAAUAAUUCAUGAACAACUUUCCUUCCACAUUCAAUAUUAAUUCACAUAUCAAAUAUAAUUCACAAUUUAUACAAAUAUAACUAUUAUUUACAUAUAACUUACCUCGGAUGCAAAACGACUAUUUUUGUAAUUUAGUCGAUAACUUUCUCUUUUCCUCGAUCACUUGCACUAUUUCUUCUUUCUUGAUCUAUAUUAACACAAUUUAAUACAUUUUAUCAAUAUUCCAUUCAAAUACAAUUCAUACACAACAUUUUGACACAUUUACAUUUUUCCCCAUAACUUUUCAAAAAUUCCACUUUUGUCCCUAAGCUCGUAAAAAUAAAAUUCUCUAAAUUCUUAAAUUUCAAACUUCACUAAAUCAUAUUUCAUGCUCAUAACGGGCCUCAAUUUCACAAAAUCACAACUUUAUGCACACUUUACCAUCUUUCACAAUUUAGCCCUUUUUCAACAUUUUUCAUUGAAAUUCAUCUAGUAAAACUUGUAAUUAACACUUCAAACAUUCAUUAUCUAACAUCACUAAUCAAUUUACAAUUAUAUCAUGAAUGGGUCAAUUUUUAAACUUUAAUUUCAUUUAAAUUAAAUGGUAGAAACAUGAAAUUCAAGCUUCAAUAAGCAUAAAAAUACGAAAAUAAUUAAAAACGGGGCAAGAAAUCACUUACAAUUGAGCUUAGGAAAAUCAAAACCCUUAACUAUGGUAACCUGAAACUUUCGGCAGCAAGCUUCUGAUUUUUUUGAAGAAGAUGGACACUUAUUUUCUCUUUAUUUUGUCUUUUACCCAAUUUGGACAAAAAUGCCCUUGACCCAUUACUUAGAUAUUUUUCUAGAAAUACCCUUUCGUGUCCAUAACACUAAUUUAUGGUCUAAUUGCCACAUAAACACUUCCAAUUUCAUGCAAUAAUUCAAUUAAGUCAUUUAAUCACUAAUUAGACACACUUUGCAUUUUUCUCAAUUUAGUCCUAAAAAUUCAAUUAAGCACUAAAGCAUUAAAAUUUCCUAUCCAUAUUUUCACACAAUAUUUCAAUCAAUCAGUAACUAAUAAAAAUUUAUAAAAUUAAACUAUUUCACUUCGGAUUUGUGGUUACGAAACCACUAUUCCGAUUAGGCCCUAUUUCGGGCUAUCACAACAUGGUUCACAAUGGAUAUAGACUAUUACUUAGAGGCUUUCUUAAGAUUGAUGAUGACACAUAAAAAUUUAUAGGCCAAGAUAUUCGAGGCCUUUACAUACAGAUUUGGCAAACAUAUGCACUAGAGAAGAUGAAAAUUAUAGUAUGGCGAUUCAUGAACAAUUUUGUGCCUACUAACACUAAUUUGUGCCUAAAAAGACUAAUGGCUGAUGCAACUUACCCUCAUUUCACCUUGAGGUAGAGACUGGCCUUCAUGCUAGCCAAGAUUGCCU